rnacentral:rRNA from 1 species
AUUGAACGCUGGCGGCAGGCCUAACACAUGCAAGUCGAGCGGAUGAAGGGAGCUUGCUCCUGGAUUCAGCGGCGGACGGGUGAGUAAUGCCUAGGAAUCUGCCUGGUAUUUGGGGAUAACGUCCGGAAACGGGCGCUAAUACCGCAUACGUCCUGAGGGAGAAAGUGGGGGAUCUUCGGACCUCACGCUAUCAGAUGAUCCUAGGUCGGAUUAGCUAGUUGGUGGGGUAAAGGCCUACCAAGGCGACGAUCCGUAACUGGUCUGAGAGGAUGAUCAGUCACACUGGAACUGAGACACGGUCCAGACUCCUACGGGAGGCAGCAGUGGGGAAUAUUGGACAAUGGGCGAAAGCCUGAUCCAGCCAUGCCGCGUGUGUGAAGAAGGUCUUCGGAUUGUAAAGCACUUUAAGUUGGGAGGAAGGGCAGUAAGUUAAUACCUUGCUGUUUUGACGUUACCAACAGAAUAAGCACCGGCUAACUUCGUG